rnacentral:rRNA from 1 species
UAAUGAUGGGUAGGGGAGCUUCCCAUACGGGUUGAAGCAUGACCGUAAGGACAUGUGGACAGUAUGGGAGUGAGAAUGUUGGCAUGAGUAGCGAGAUGUGGGUGAGAAUCCCACAGGCCGUAAACCCAAGGUUUCCAGGGGAAGGUUCGUCCGCCCUGGGUUAGUCGGGACCUAAGCUGAGGCCGAAAGGCGUAGGUGAUGGACAACAGGUUGAUAUUCCUGUACUACCGAUAACCGUUUGAGAGAAGGGAUGACACAGUAGGAUAAGCUAAGCACACUGUUGGUUAUGUGUGCCCAAGCAUUGAGGCAGUCAAAGCAGGCAAAUCCGCUUUGAUAAUGCUGGGAUGUGAUGGGGAGCGAAAUUUAGUAGCGAAGUAGCUGAUUUCACACUGUCAAGAAAAGUCUCUAUCGAGGUUAAAGGUACCCGUACCGCAAACCGACACAGGUGGGUGAGGAGAGUAUCCUAAGGCCAGCGAGAGAACUGUUGUUAAGGAACUCGGCAAAAUGACCCCGUAACUUAGGGAUAAGGGGUGCCACCAUCCGGUGGCCGCAGAGAAUAGGCCCAAGCGACUGUUUACCAAAAACAUAGGUUUCUGCUAAGUCGCAAGACGAUGUAUAGGAGCUGACGCCUGCCCGGUGCUGGAAGGUUAAGGGGAUCUGUUAGAGCAAUCGAAGCAGUGAACUUAAGCCCCAGUAAACGGCGGCCGUAACUAUAACGGUCCUAAGGUAGCGAAAUUCCUUGUCGGGUAAGUUCCGACCCGCACGAAAGGCGUAACGAUUUGGGCACUGUCUCAACAACAGACUCGGUGAAAUUGUAAUUCCGGUGAAGAUGCCGGAUACCUGCGACAGGACGGAAAGACCCCAUGGAGCUUUACUGUAGCUUGACAUUGGGUCUUGGUACUACAUGUACAGGAUAGGUGGGAGGCUUUGAAACCAGGACGCCAGUUUUGGCGGAGCCAUCCUUGGGAUACCACCCUUGUAGUACUGGGACUCUAACCAUAGGCCAUGAAUCUGGUCUUGGGACACUGUCAGGUGGGCAGUUUGACUGGGGCGGUCGCCUCCCAAAAGGUAACGGAGGCGCUCAAAGGUUCUCUCAGUACGGUCGGAAAUCGUACGUAGAGUGUAAAGGCAAAAGAGAGCUUGAUUGCAAGACAUACAGGUCGAGCAAGGAUGAAAAUCGGACUUAGUGAUCCGGUGGUUCUGCGUGGAAGGGCCAUCGCUCAACGGAUAAAAGCUACCCUGGGGAUAACAGGCUUAUCUCCCCCAAGAGUCCACAUCGACGGGGAGGUUUGGCACCUCGAUGUCGGCUCAUCACAUCCUGGGGCUGUAGUAGGUCCCAAGGGUUGGGCUGUUCGCCCAUUAAAGUGGUACGCGAGCUGGGUUCAGAACGUCGUGAGACAGUUCGGUCCCUAUCCGUCGCAGGCGUAGGAAAUUUGAGAAGACCUGUCCUUAGUACGAGAGGACCGGGAUGGACGUACCUCUGGUGUACCAGUUGUUCUGCCAAGGGCAUGGCUGGGUAGCUAUGUACGGAAUGGAUAAGCGCUGAAAGCAUCUAAGCGCGAAGCCAACUUCAAGAUAAGAUUUCCCACCGCAAGGGUAAGACCCCAGAAAGACUAUCUGGUUGAUAGGUCGAAGGUGUAAGUGCAGCAAUGUAUUUAGCUUAUCGAUACUAAUAG